rnacentral:lncRNA from 1 species
CUGAGCAGGAAGCAAAUAGUCUCACAGUACUCAGAUGGACCUGGAGACAUUUAUGAGCUAGACUGUAUGAUGUGGUUGCCUGGAAUAGCAGGAGGCUGGACUGUACAUCCUAGGAAGCCAGCUCCCAUCCAGUGUCUAUAAGUUUUUUCAGCUGUUGCUUGUGUGCGUGUCUCUGAGUGAGCAGGCAGUCCCUCCACUGCUGUGUGAUGCGGAUGCGGCGAAGGCAGCAAAUCCUCCGGCUGUGCGUGCCCUCCCUGGACUGCUGCUCCAUCCCCGCCUGUCGUGCUCGCGCGUGUGCAUGGCUGGGAGCGCUGCCUAGGUGCGGCCGGGAAUGAGCCAGCUGCGGGGCAGGGAACGCUACAGCUCCGAGGGGUGACACCAGUGGGGGACACCCCCCGCACAAACACAUCUGCAGGGCUGCAAGUUGCUCGAGGACCGGGGUCUUUUGUGCCUCCACUUCGUCUCUGUCAUGCCCCGUAUGGAAGCUGGGAGCAGUCACCCCUCCAGAAGCAGCUUGUGCACGCACUCCCUGGGGGUUGGAUGCCUCUGAUCCGAGGAUGAAGGCAAGGGAAGGCGAAGUCGUUCGCAAUGAAUCCAUGGCAGCUUCGAUCGAGCGGUGUGCUGGAGCACCUACUCACAGGCCACUCCUUCAUGUGACUGAACAGAGACCUUUCCCAGCAAUCGCCAAGGAGAGCAGAGCCCUGGAUUUACCUCCCGCGCAGCCGGGCACCCCCAGCGCAGGCACUGCGAGAUUCCAGUGACAGAUGGAUCUCUCUCAUGCACACUUGCUCUUUCCUUCUCUGUAUUUUUGUUUUCGACAUGUUUGAUCCGAAGCUCUGAAGCUUCUCAGAGGGAACCCAGGAAAGAAGGAAGAGAAGGAGUAGAAACCAAGGGAGCGUGAGCGGCACGGGAGGCAGCCCUGCCUUGUUCUUCCAAAUCACACUGUGGAGGGGCGGGGGAAGACUAGAGGGGGAGGACUUGGGUUUGUUUUGGGGUGGGU